GAUCAACGCUGGCGGCGUGCCUAAUGCAUGCAAGUCGAACGGGGUCGUCUUCGGACGGCUUACGUGGCGGACGGGUGAGGAACACGUGGCCAAUCUGCCCACCGGCAGGGGGUAGCCCGCGGAAACGCGGGGUAAUUCCGUAUGCGCUCAGGGUCCGCGUGGGGAUGCUGAGGAAAGGGUCUUCGGGCCCGCCGGUGGAGGAGGCUGCGGCCGAUUAGCUAGCUGGUGGGGUCACGGCCUACCAGGGCGAUGAUCGGUAGCUGGUCUGAGAGGAUGAUCAGCCACACGGGGACUGAGACACGGCCCCGACUCCUACGGGAGGCAGCAGCAAGGAAUUUUCCGCAAUGGGCGCAAGCCUGACGGAGCAACGCCGCGUGCGGGAUGACGCUUUUCGGAGUGUAAACCGCUGUUCGUGGGGACGAAGCACUGACGGUACCCACGGAGGAAGGCCCGGCUAACUACGUGCCAGCAGCCGCAGUAAAAC
rnacentral:rRNA from 1 species